rnacentral:rRNA from 1 species
UAUCUUCAUCGAGGAUUUGUUCUUACCGAAGAUAACCUUAUUAAGAGGAAUUGGCAAGGAAGUAUGCAGCGUGUUUUUUGUCAUCAUGACAAAACAAUAAAUCACUUGUUUUUUGAUUGCAAAUUGGCUCGUUCUAUAUGGCCAGUCAUCCAAGUAGCUUCUAGCUUGUAUCCUCCAUGUAGUGUUGCUAAUAUAUUUGGCAACGGGUUACACAGGAUAGAUUACAGGUUUAGAAUUGUUCUCAGGGUGGGAGCACUUGCCGUUGUUUGGUCGCUUUGGCUACGUACAAAUGAUAAGGUUUUUAGCGAUAAAAGUACUUCUCUUAUGCUGAUUAUCUACAUAUGUACCUGCACGCUCCAUUUAUAA